rnacentral:rRNA from 1 species
AUUGAACGCUGGCGGAAUGCUUUACACAUGCAAGUCGAGCGGCAGCACGGGGGCAACCCUGGUGGCGAGCGGCGAACGGGUGAGUAAUACAUCGGAACAUGCCCAGUCGUGGGGGAUAACACUUCGAAAGAAGUGCUAAUACCGCAUACGUCCUGAGGGGGAAAGCGGGGGAUCGCAAGACCUCGCGCGAUUGGAGUGGCCGAUGUCAGAUUAGCUAGUUGGUGGGGUAAAGGCCUACCAAGGCAACGAUCUGUAGCUGGUCUGAGAGGAUGAUCAGCCACACUGGGACUGAGACACGGCCCAGACUCCUACGGGAGGCAGCAGUGGGGAAUUUUGGACAAUGGGGGCAACCCUGAUCCAGACAUUCCGCGUGAGUGAAGAAGGCCUUCGGGUUGUAAAGCUCUUUCGGCAGGAACGAAACGGUGAGCUCUAACAUAGCUUGCUAAUGACGGUACCUGAAGAAGAAGCACCGGCUAACUACGUG